GGGAAAGGUGGAUUACAUGGUGAGUUCAGUCCUGCAGUGAGGCCAUGCAGGAAGAUACGUGAACGUGUCCCAAAAGAUCAUUGCAGUUUGGCGUUUUAAUGCUGCUGCUUAGAACAGCAGCUGCCUGGCUGGAGGUUGAUCUUCAUCCCAGCCAGGUGUAGAAUCUGAUGGUUUUACGGAGGAGGUUAGAGAGACAAACAGCAACUUGGCAAGCACCUAGCUGUAGAUUAUGGAGAUUCCUUUUGCUGUAACAGUGAGCUGUAAAGACUUGGGCCAAAAGAGAAUCUGUUAUGUUAUCAUCCAGCUGGUAAUUAAGUGGGUUUGUGGACAAGAGGAAAUGAGUCAGUUUAAAUGAGGGAAAAAGACUCCAAAAUUUCCAAAGCUACACAAUUCUGCUCUAGCACAACUCCGACAACACUUUUAUUACGAGAAUCUUGUAUACACAUCUCCUUAAAGAGACCCAAAGAACAAUUUCUAAAAUUCAGAUAUAACUGAGGAACCAAUACUCAUUUCAAUUACCAUACUUAGAAGGAAAGCCUUAGAAUAAUGAGGAAAGACUAACCAUAUUGAAAACACUAAACACUAGCCCUUUUCAUGUUAGAAAGUUUGGAUAGAGAGGGGCCCCCUAACUAGGAUUACAUUAUGUCUUUUUCAGUGCUGUAGUCUAAAAUAUUAAAUGCAGUUUGUUUUGAAGUAUUACAGUAGAAGUUCUCAGCUUAGAAAAGCUGUAAUUCCUGAGUUUGUGCCACCUGCUCUGUUAAGUGCUUUUGAGAUCAAUACAGGAAAGAGAUUAGCCUGUGAAGACACUUUGUCCUUUAGAGCUGCUACUGGAAGGUGAUAGAUCUGAAGGAUACUGGUAAUGAGAGAUGUGAUUAGCAGCCUAAUAAAUAAGGCAAACGUCUCUGUCUUUUCCUCUAGUGUGUGUUAGCCUACCUAUGUUUUUGUUAGAGAUUUAUCCUGGUUAUAAGAUUUGACAAACUUGUCUCAUCAACCGUCACCAAAAUGUUAGUAAUAAUGAUGUGGAACCUCUCAUAUUUGGGGAAUCUGAGCACCUGUUUAAGAUUCUGACCUUGAUUUCUCACUUGCUGUAGUUGUUGCAUUCUGUGUCUUCUAUGUUGUCAGGAAGUAUUGCACCCAAAGCAUCAAUAUUUGUUACAGGCUAUUGUUGUUAUGGUCUGGGUUCGUUCUUGGUGCAGAGGUUGAGUGAAAACUCUGGUUUUCAUUGAAAAUGUUUUUUAAUGUCUUUUAUGGAAGUAGGCAGGUGAAAUAAACUGUGAAUUCUGAACUUGGAACACAAAACCAUGCGUCUUCCCAGAAUAAAACGGUUGCUCAGGUAUUUCCAGCUGGAUGGAUGAAGGGGCAUGGCUGGAUGAAGGUGAAUGACUAGGGAAGAAUGAGAGUUCAAGCUGAGAAACAAAAGGCUUAGAGUGGGAAGCUACAAUUCAAAUUACUUUUCCAUAGUGGGUUGUGUCUAAGCCCAAGGAAAGGUAUUGGAAGGGGCCUUUAAGUAGUGAAGCUCUUCAUGCGUCUCUUCUCUCUGCACAUGGGGAAGCAGAACUUCAUAUGUUCUUGUAAAUGAAUGGAAAUACAUCAAAGAUGCUCACUGCCAUCCACAGCUUUUUUUUUUUUCUUCUUUCAUUCGAUGCAGUCCGUACAUUUCCACUUUAUGUGGUCCAGGAGAGGUAACGCUUUGUUACCUGACCUCAUUCCUUAUUCUGAACCACAUUAAGCAGUGCAGUGAAGUAUACCAUUAUUGGUUUGGAAGAAAUUGAUUUAUGGGAAAUGAUUCAUCUACCACAUGAAAAAUAGUUCUGAGGAGAUGUCCCACUUUGCUCUUACCUGAUACCUUGUUAAACUUGCCCAAGGAUGUUUCCUGGGACAUAAAAGGGAUGUAAAUUUGCCUCCUAGCACGGGCUUUCUGUAGAAGCUUGUCCAGCAGCCUUUCUGCUCUUGUGAGACAAGACUUUGUGAGACAUGCAGGUCCAUGCAGGACUUUUGGAUGUUUAACUUUGACCAAUAUGAAACGAAGGUUUCGCAUUCACUGCCUUUGCUCAACUAUUACUGAUGCAACCUGCCUCCUCAGAACAAGCCCAACGUAAACUUUUCUUAAAGGAUUGAGGAAAAAAGUUGGUCUCUGGCAAUGAAAUGCUGUUUUUAUUUUAGGCAUCUCAAUGUAUGAGUGGGGAAAGUAAUCUGAUUAGCACAUUUGCUAGAGAAAGGAACCAAUGGGAAGGUGAAAAUAUUAAUAAAAGACAGAGUUGACUUAUACUCAAACUGGCCUUUAAAUUUGCAGUAUAUGCUGUAAGGACAUGCUUAUAUAACCUCUAUUUCUAUUCAUAAAGGUUUAUGUGGGUCUAUAUUGAAUUAUGCAUUUAAAAUUAAUCCACUGAGGCAGCCCACUGAGAUGCCACUUCUCAUUUAGUAACUGCAUUAAGGACUUUGUGCUUCAUUUAGAAACUGUGAGAAGCUUGCUUUGUGCUGUGGAGAGGAACUGGCCUGCCAGAUUCAGACGGGCUAUUAUAGGGGGUUUAAAACAACCAUCUCUCUGUCUUUCUCUGAGUUACCAGUAAAACUCUAUUCUUGACUUGUGUGACCCGACUCAUGCAGCUUGGCUGAACCUGACAAACCCAACUGACUUGUGUCAGAUUCUUAGAAGAGAUUAAUGAAGAUUUUCUUCAGGGGUUGGGAACAGCUGAUUCUGCCUUUGCAAGGCUGUGGGGACCCGGAAUGAACAGACGCACACAUUAGGUGUUUAUACCAGCAGCUGUAAUUCAAGUUUAUUAAGUGCCUUGUUUGUGUAGUUUUCCGGUUCCUCAGGCAUUGCAAAAGGGUCAAGAGCUCUUCUAGAUGUUUACAUGGAUUUUGUUCUAAGAAAUCUUAGGCUCUUAUCUCUUCUUAUCUGCAUUCUCCAAAUUACAAUUCUGCUUUUAAAAUGGCUGCAAAACGGUAUUGUGAGGCUCUGUGUCAUGUCUGAAUUAAACUUCUUUAGCUUAAAAAUAAAAGCAUACCAGUUCUGUAUAGUCACAUUGUGAUGUAAAAUACAAAUUGAGAUAUCUGCAUGGCCUAUCUCAUUCAUCAUGAAAAAUCACUUGUUUUGGGAAUUACUGCCUUUAUUGACUCUGGGCAAACCUGUUGUCUUCCUAUUCUGCUUUUGGUUGUUAUUGUUUUUAUUAUUAAGUUAGUGCUUUGUGGCCUUAGUAUAAAAAAACCUACUAAACGCGUAGCAAGCCUUUCA